AUGUUCACCUUGGCAGCACAUAUACUAAAACUGGAACAAUAAAGAGAAGACUAGCAUGGCCCCUUGAGCAAAGAUGACACACAAAUUCAUGAAGCGGUCCAUAUUAAA
ensembl:snRNA U6 U6 spliceosomal RNA